rnacentral:rRNA from 1 species
CCUACGUGUGACAGCAGUGAGGAAUAUUGGUCAAUGGACGGAAGUCUGAACCAGCCAUGCCGCGUGCAGGAAGACGGCUCUAUGAGUUGUAAACUGCUUUUGUACAAGGGUAAACCUGAAUACGUGUAUUCAGCUGAAAGUACUGUACGAAUAAGGAUCGGCUAACUCCGUGCCAGCGGCCGCGGUAAUACGGAGGAUCCAAGCGUUAUCCGGAUUUAUUGGGUUUAAAGGGUGCGUAGGCGGAUUGAUAAGUUAGAGGUGAAAUGUCCGAGCUUAACUCGGGAACUGCCUCUAAUACUGUUGAUCUAGAGAGUAGAUGCGGUAGGCGGAAUGUAUGGUGUAGCGGUGAAAUGCUUAGAGAUCAUACAGAACACCGAUUGCGAAGGCAGCUUACCAAUCUAUAUCUGACGUUGAGGCACGAAAGCGUGGGGAGCAAACAGGAUUAGAUACCCGAGUAGUC